rnacentral:piRNA from 1 species
UCAGAGGAUGUGGACUGGUUCAUGAU